AGUCCAAGGUGGGUAGGUCCUUGCACCCCCAGCCUGUUCAGCUUAUUCCUCCAGUUCCCUGCCUCCCUUUGAUGUCGGACAAACCCGGGUGGGGAGGAAGAGCGCCUGCCUCCCUGACCUGCCAACCUGCAGCGCACCGAGCCACGAGCCCCGCGUCUGCUCUGGGAGCCGUGCCAAGCCGAGCUAGCUAGGUACUCCGUGCUCGGAUCUGCCUUGCCGCUGCACCGCGCAGUCCCGAGCCGACCGCGGCCGCCCCGCCUUGCACUCUCUCAGCCCCGCCGGCCAGGAAGUCUCGGGGAGCCGGCACCGCGCUCCAGACCUCAGGUCCUGCAGCUCCGGGUGGAGCACACACCCGGGCCAUGGACUUAGCGAGCGCACCUUUGUGAGUACACACGCCGCGGGGGCAGGCGCACGGCCCCGCCGCCUGCAGACUGGAGCCCGGUGCGCGCUGGGGCCGCGACCCGGCUACGACCUCGCUCCCGCGCUCCCUGCCGCCUGGCGGCGUCGGGACGGGUCGUCCUCCCCUGACGAGGCCACGGGAGCCGGGCAGUAAGAGAGGAGUGCAGAGCGCCGGCGUGGGUCUGCAGCGGGGACUGCACUCCUCCGAGGUCAGGCAGAUCCUGUCCAAGCCGCAGAUUUAAUUGCCAUGUUAGACACCCUGCCUCCUUGCCCCACCUCCUGUUUUUACUGUAAACAGUGUUAGAGAUACUGUCCGGUUGUUGAAGAUAAACCGUAUCUCCCUUGACACCUUCGCGUCUUCUCAGGUUAUUGGCUGUUACCCACAGCCGGCCUCGUUGCCUGAAUAGAGCACUACUGGCGUUUUAAAUAAAAUCUCGAAUGCAGGGCCAAAGGCGGCGGAGACCUUAGCUCUUCCUCGGCCCUGCCCGAGCUCCUGGCUGCAGGUCCCUGGAGAUGGGACGCUGGCCGACUUUCCUUUGCUGCUUGUUAGGAAAAUUUUGGUGACAUUAUGUUUUUGUAUAUCGGUCUGAUAUUUUUCUGGGCACCUCCUCAACGCCUAGGAAAAAGCCUUGGCAGAGGACUGGGAAGAUCUUCAGAAGCAAAUGGAUGGCGAAGUCUCUUUCCUCCAGUUGUUUCAUUUGUAGAUCUUGUUAAAAAUAAAACUAAUUUUAAAACAUGAA